AUGAAAAUAACGAGAGAUAUUCUUACUGGAAUAGCCGAAGAAGCAAUAUAGAAGAUGCCAUUCUUCCAUAGAAUCUUUCAGGCAAAAGGAUCGUUAUUGGAUG
rnacentral:ncRNA from 2 species